ACCCUAAGAUGAGGACACUACUUCAAUAAACUUUUGAAUCUCUCCCAUGCUUUGAACAGUUAUUCUUCAUAUAUUUGAGCAAAGUUCAUGAUUUGGUUUUUCAUUAAUGUU